AUGCUUGCCCUCCUGCUCCUCCUCGUUCCCGCCAGCUCGUUGCCAGCGCCGGCGUCCGGCGAUGAAGGAGCCGUGCCGGUGAUCAACGCUUUCUCCCACUUCUGCAGCCCCACGAGCGAUGCCGAUGGACUCUACCAGCCCAACAGCACCUUCGCGGCCAACCUCGCCAGCAUGUCCGCGGUGCUCCCGAAGAACGCAUCGGCCUCCGGCUUCUCCGCUGGCGCGUUCGGCCGGGCGCCGGACACCGCGUACGGCUUGGCGCUCUGCCGCUGGGACUACACCGGCGACGACUGCGGCGCGUGCCUCUCCAGGGCGUUCAAGGACGCGGUGAACCUCUGCGGCCGCAGCAAGGACGUCACCAUCUAUCACGACCAGUGCCAUAUCCGGUUCUACGACCAGGACUACCUCGCCGGCGCCGUGAACUCGCCCGAGAGCGUGGCGUCGAACAUGAACAACGUCUCCAGAGGGAACGUCGCCGCGUUCGACGGCCUGGUCACGAGGCUGGCCAACGCGGUGGCGGACAGGGCCAGCAACGUGAGCGGCAGGUACGCCACGGGCCAGGCCGGCUUCCCGCCGGACAAGAUCAACGUGUACGGCCUGGCACAGUGCACGCCGGACCUCACGACGGCUCAGUGCCAGGCCUGCCUCGCCGCCAUCAUCAAACAGAUGCCCAAGUUCUUGAGCGGGAGGGUGGGCGGGAGGAUUCUUGGGGUGCGCUGCGCCGUCAGGUACGAGAAGGAUAUCUUCUUCACGACCACCGGCGACAUGGUGACGCUCACGCCCCUGCUGGAUCCGUCCAAAGGGAGCAGCAACACGCACACGCUUUGGAUCGUGGCGAUAGCAGUCCCCAUAACCGUGCUCCUCUGCGGCUUCUUGGCAUGUUUCAUGUGGAUGAGAAGGCGAAGAAGAAGAGUGACCAAUCUCUCAGGGAGGGUGAACAUACCAACCAUGUCCAUGGAGAUGGAGCAGGUGCUCAAGCUAUGGAAAAUCGAAGAGAGCGACUCCGAGUUCUCGCUCUACGAUUUCGACCAGAUCGCAGACGCCACCAGAAACUUCUCCAACGACUACAAGCUCGGUCAGGGUGGCUUUGGCGCUGUUUACAGGGGUGAACUGCCUGGCGGGCUUGAGGUCGCAAUCAAGAGGCUCUCUACGUGCUCCGUGCAGGGGUUGAUGGAAUUCAAGACCGAGAUCCAGCUGAUCGCCAAGCUUCAGCACACCAACCUUGUCAGGCUCCUGGGCUGCUGCCUCCAGGCCGAGGAGAAGAUGCUCAUAUACGAGUACAUGCACAACAAAAGCUUGGAUUGCUUCAUCUUCGAUAGUGCGAAAGGGGCGAUACUGAACUGGGAGCGGCGCUUCCGAAUAAUCGAUGGGAUCGCGCAGGGGCUUCUUUACAUGCACAAGCAUUCCCGCUUGCGAGUUAUACACAGGGAUCUAAAAGCGAGCAACAUCCUCUUGGAUCGCGACAUGAACCCCAAGAUCUCGGACUUCGGUUUGGCGAGGAUAUUCUGCUCCAAUGUGACGGAGGCCAACACGACCAGGGUCGUCGGCACGCACGGCUACAUCGCUCCAGAGUAUGCUUCAGAGGGUCUCUUCUCCACCAAAUCCGACGUUUUCAGCUUCGGGGUCUUGCUCUUGGAGAUCAUAAGUGGGAAGAGGACUGCAGGCUUCUACCAGUACGGAAAAUUCUUCAAUCUCACAGGAUACGCUUAUCAGUUGUGGCAAGAGGCGAAAUGGCACGAGAUGGUCGAUCAGGUACUCGGGGUCGACUACCCGGUGACGGAGGUGAUGAAGUGCGUCCAGGUGGCGUUGUUGUGCGUCCAGGACAGCGCCGACGAUCGACCCAGCAUGUCCGAUGUCGUCGCCAUGCUCAGCGGCGAGGGGCUCACGCUGCCGGAGCCCCGACAGCCGGCCUACUUCAACGUUAGGUUAUCAAGCUUACCAGAGUCAAAUAGUUCCUUUGGUGAAUCGUCGUACAUCAGCAACGUCGCCUUGACUGAUGAAGACGGCAGAUAA
rnacentral:rRNA from 1 species